rnacentral:tRNA from 1 species
GCUUCAAUGGUUAUAACGUUUAAAUUCAGAUUAACAGGUCGCGGGUUCGAGCCUCGCUUGGUGCA